rnacentral:rRNA from 1 species
CACACCCGUUCCCAUCCCGAACACGGCAGUUAAGCUCUUUUGCGCCGAUGGUAGUUGGGGGUCUCCCCCUGUGAGAGUAGGACGCCGCUGGGC